rnacentral:ncRNA from 1 species
AGUGGUUGAUCACGAGUUAGUCGGUCCUAAGUUCAAGGCGAAAGCCGAAAAUUUUCAAGUAAAGAAAAAUCUAAAUAUAUUUGUCAUCUAACCGAUUUUUAUACACUUGAAUAAUUUUGAACGAAAGGGAAUACGGUUCCAAUUCCGUAACCUGUUGAGUAUCCGUUUGUUAUUAAAUAUGGGCCUCGUGCUCAUCCUGGCAACAGGAACGACCAUAAAGAAGCCGUCGAGAGGUAUCGGAAGAGUUUUCUUUUCUGUUUUAUAGCCGUACUACCAUGGAAGUCUUUCGCAGAGAGAUAUGGUAGAUGGGCUAGAAGAGCAUGACAUAUACUGUUGUGUCGAUAUUUCUCCUCGGACCUUGAAAAUUUAUGGUGGGGACACGCAAACUUCUCAACAGGCCGUACCAAUAUCCGCAGCUGGUCUCCAAGGUGAAGAGUCUCUAGUCGAUAGAAUAAUGUAGGUAAGGGAAGUCGGCAAAUUAGAUCCGUAACUUCGGGAUAAGGAUUGGCUCUGAAGAUUGAGAUAGUCGGGCUUGAUUGGGAAACAAUAACAUGGUUUAUGUGCUCGUUCUGGGUAAAUAAAGUUUCUAUCAUUUAUGGUAGUUUCUUGUUCCCCGGAUAGUUUAGUUACGUAGCCAAUUGUGGAACUUUCUUGCUAAAAUUUUUAAGAAUACUAGUUGGGCUACCAAUUAGUUCUUUUAAAUUAUAACGAUUAUCAAUU